UUCAGCAUUUAGGCUGCCUCUCACCAAUCCUGUCAAAUCUUGGAAGCUAAGUAGGACUGGCCCUGGUUAAUACGUGAAUGGGAGACCACCUGAGAACGCCAGCUACUGUAGGCU
rnacentral:rRNA from 1 species